rnacentral:rRNA from 1 species
AUUGAACGCUGGCGGCGUGCCUAACACAUGCAAGUCGAACGGGGUGAGGGAGUUUGCUUCUUCAUCUAGUGGCGCACGGGUGAGUAACGCGUGGAUAAUCUGCCCGAUGCUCUGGGAUGACAUCUCGAAAGGGGUGCUAAUACCGGAUAAGCCCACGGGGUCUUAGGAUCUUGCGGGAAAAGGGGGGGACCUUCGGGCCUCCCGACAUCGGAUGAGUCCGCGUCCCAUUAGCUAGUUGGUGGGGUAAAGGCCUACCAAGGCGACGAUGGGUCGCUGGUCUGAGAAGAUGAUCAGCCACACUGGAACUGAGACACGGUCCAGCAUCCUCCGGGAGGCAGCAGUGGGGAAUUUUGCGCAAUGGGGGGAACCCUGACGCAGCAACGCCGCGUGAGUGAUGAAGGCCUUUGGGUCGUAAAGCUCUGUCAGAGGGAAAGAAAUGUGGGCGGCUAAUAUCCGUUCCACUUGACGGUACCCUCAAAGGAAGCACCGGCUAACUCCGUGCCAGCCGCCGCCGUAAGAC